UUAGUACAACCCUUGAAAGAGAUCUGUAAUGAAAUAAUGGAGGGGAAAAGGGCACCAGAGUCGUGGAAAGAAGCUUAGAUUACACUUGUACCGAAAACAGAGACUGAAAAGACACAGCUUAAGAACUACCGCCCCAUAUCAUUACUUAAUGUGGAUUACAAAAUUUUUGCAGACAUUUUGGCUAAGAGAUUUAAAAAGUGUUGAUGGAAGAGAUUCAUAAAGAUCAAGCGGGCUUUCUCCCGGGAAGACACUUGUCUGACAAUUUGAGGAAUAUAAUUGAUAUCUUGGAAAAGCUAGAAGUGAACAUAAAUACUAAAGCAGUUUUGAUAUUUGUGGACGCGGAGAAAGCUUUUGACAACAUUUCUUGGAGUUUUAUGAAGAAGAACCUACAGGGUAUGGGGGUAGGCCAAGGCUUUGAAAACGGUAUAAGUGCAAUUUAUUCAGAACAAAAGGCUAAAUUAAUUGUAAAUAAUGUGGUGAUGGAAGAACUUAAGAUAGAAAAAGGGACACGACAAGGAUGCCCAAUUUCCCCACUACUUUUUAUUUCGGUCCUGGAGGUUUUGCUGAACAUGAUUAGAAGGGACCAGUUGGUUAAAGGUAUACAGGUCGGAGCUAAACAGUACAAAUUGAGAGCAUUUGCAGAUGAUUUAGUAUUGACGUUACAGGAGCCAGAAUCUAGUACCAAAAGGGUUUUAGAACUGAUUCAAGAAUUUGGUCAGGUUGCAGGAUUUAAAUUGAACAAGUUAAAAACUAAGGUUUUAGAGAAAAAUCUAACACCAAUGGAGAGAGAGAGGUUUCAGAAUGUGACAGGUUUAACAGUGGUUAAGAAAGUUAAAUAUCUGGGGAUUAACAUGACAGCAAAAUGGGAAUUUAUUUAAAGAUAACUAUGUAAAAUGUUGGGCUGAAGUGUAAAAUGAUUUAUAAAUUUGGUCAAAUUUGAAGCUUUCACUGCUGGGCAGUAUUGCUGCAGUAAAAAUGAAUGUAUUGCCUAGAAUGUUGUUUUUAUUUCAAACACUGCAAAUUCUGGACAAAAUGGACUGUUUCAAGAGGUGGCAGAGAGAUAUUUCUAGAUUUGUCUGGCAGGGCAAGAAGCCCAGAAUAAAAUUUAAAAUACUAACAGAUGCAAAGGAAAGAGGUGGAUUUAUUAUGAAUCAGCAGCUUUUUGCUGGUUGAAAGAAUGGCUGCUUCUUGAAAACACUGACAUUUUGGAUCUAGAAGGUUUUAACAAUGUAUUUGGAUGGCAUGCAUAUUUGUGGUAUGAUAAGGUCAAAGCACAUAAAGCAUUUAAAAAUCGACUUCCGGGGGGCGGCGCGAACGGCAAUGGCGGUCCUCUUCUGAACGGGAGAGGAGGCUCCGCAGACAACGGGUCGUCCGCUACGGCGAAGCGGAGACCCAUUUCGGAAAACCCCAGGCAGCAAGAGCCUGGGGUCCUGAGGCUCGGUGGGCGCCUUGAGCGACCCUCCAAGCGCGAAAGGAACCCCGUAAGGGGCUCCGGAGCGUGGAGGGGGGUUGCGGCGCUGAGAGCUGUUUCACAGUCUGCGGAGUGAAGCCGCGCUGCUGCUGCCGGUGAGCGCUGAUCCCUUUUCCUGUUAAAAUACGGAUUCGGAGGAAAAGCAACUUAUUCGUGAGUAAAGACAAAAUUACUUGAAAUUAGAGACUUUAAAAGAAAAACUUUAAUUGGUUUGAACUUGGCUGAAAGCGGAGAGACGUGGAAACAGGAAGUCCGUCUUCCGCAGCCAUUGAACUUGAAAAAGCAACUAGCGGGAGGCGUGGCGGCUGAAACAAAGAGACUUUAAAUUUUACAGAUUUAAGCAUCUACUGAACCUGCAAUUCAAAGUAAAGACUUUAAGUUAAAGACUUGGAAUUAUUAUUUGCACUUGACUUUCCUCCUUUUAUUGGAUUACAAAUUAGAAGGUGAAACCCAGAGUCAGGAGCUGCCUGAGCAUUGAGAGACUGAGCUGUCAGUACUGCAGAUUUGGAUACUGUUAUUGGAACUUGCAACAAUCUGAGGGUAUUGAGACCCUUUAAAUUUGAAACAUUCUUUUGGAGACAAAUAAGCACUGUCUGUAACAAAGUGACCAUUUAUAAACUCUGCUAAACAUUUGUAUCUGAAGGUUCUUGGAUAUUAAAUUGGACUUUGAAAGACAUUUCAAGCUCCCUCUAGAGGAUUGGAUUAAAACAGUGACUUUACAGGUACAUUUUACUUUCGAUUCCCUUGUUGCUUGCUUGCUCUGGGCCUUUCUAUUCCCAUGGGAAAAACUCAGUGUGACCUUGACUGAUUGAUAACGUUGGAAUGAGUGGCACAAGAAGGAGAGGGAGAGUUAGACAAACAACUUUAACAACUCUAACCUCAGCCUCGCAGACACGUAGAUCAUCUGUACCUACUUUGCCCUCAGAAGUAGAAGUUGAAGAAGUUGCCUUGUCACAGGCAAAAGAGGGAGAGGGUGAAGCAGAGCAGUUACAAUUGGAAGAUAUGGCCUCAGGAGUAUCUGUCUCUGUUCUAGACAAAAUCUUUGAAAAAUUGGAAGCUUUGGACAAGAAAGUAGAUGUGCAAACAGCAAAGAUUGACAAAAACACAGAAUGUCUAAAUAAAUUAACCAUACAAGUGGUACAGAACACACAAGCAAUUGGACAGUUAACGGAGGCCUCAGCAGAAAAUCGGAAAUUGGCUGAGGAUACCAGACAAAAAUUGGAAAAUUUAGAGCAAGAGGUAAGACCACUCACUAAACAAGUUGGGGAACAUCAGAUUUACCUUUCUAUGAUAGAACUGCGAAAUCGUGAGAAUAAUCUGAGGAUUAGAUCAUUACAAGAGGCAGAAGAAGGAAAUUUAACUGAGUUUUUGACCAAAGAAUUCUCCAAGUUCUGGAAUUUGGAAGAAAAAGAUUUUAAAAUUGUGUCAGCUUUCAGACUUGGAAGAUUCAUAAAGAAGGAGAGGCCCAGAGACUGUUUGAUAACAUUGAGAUCAAAGGAGGAAAGGGAUAAGAUUUUGGGCCUACAUUACGGAAAGUCACUGGAGGUUUUGGAUAGAAGAAUUGAAAUUUAUAAAGAUAUUCCAAGACAACUGCUGGAUCUUAGAGCCGCCUAUUCUGAACUUGCUAAACUACUAAGGAGCAACGCAAUUCCAUUCAGGUGGGAAUUCCCCAAGGAAUAUCUUUCACCUUUAGAGGGAGAAAGGUCAAAGUUAGAACAUUGGAAGAGAGGGACAAAUUUUUGGCUACAUACGGAGAGGACCUUCAAAAAGGAAUUGAAUUACCUUCUGGGCCUGGGGCAACGCCAACAUCAACACCAGCACCUGGGGAACCUAAAGAUCCAGAGAAGAUACCACCCCUGGAGAAAUAACCAGAUUGAACCAGGAUGUCUCUGCAACUGCUGAGUUGGAAUAUUAAUGGUUGUAACAUUCCGGAAAAAAAGGAAGAAAAUAUUUCACAUAUUAAAAAAAGAACAAUUGGACAUUAUUUGUCUACAAGAAACACAUGUGACGAGGCUCCACAGAAAAGUGUUAAUAAAUAAAAGAUUGGGCCAGGAAUUUGUAUCGUCGGACAAAGUCAAGAAGAGAGGCGUGGUGAUAUAUGCAAAAGAGAGCCUGUCACCUAAAUUUUUAUUCAAAGAUGAACAUGGAAGAAUUUUGGCUAUUGAGAUACAAUAUCAAGGAGAGAAACUGUUGAUAUUAGGAAUUUAUGCACCUAAUGAAGGGAAAUCGGAAUUUUACAAGAAGCUGCAGGAGACAAUGCUGGACUAUCUGGAUUACAACAACAUCAUAAUGAUGGGAGAUAUGAAUGGGGUCGUAUCAACUAACAUGGACAAGUCACAAAGUCAAAAUGUUACAAAAGACGGCAGACUACCUAAAACCUUUUUUGAAAUGACUGACAAUAUGGACCUGAUUGACAUUUGGAGGACAAAGAACCCACUAGGAAGAGAAGGAACAUUUUUUCUGAAGCCCAACUGACCUGGACAAGAAUCGACCAAAUAUGGAUUUCUAGAGGCCUGGCACCUAAGGUCAGAAAAGUGGAAAUCUGCCCAAAGACCUGUUCCGACCAUAAUGCAGUAAAGAUGGAUAUGACACUACUACCAACUGGAUCCUUUAGAUGGAAGAUGAAUGACAAUUUGUUCAGAGAUCAGGAAAUUACCAAGAGGGCCCAAAAGCUUUGAAGGACUAUUUUGAGAUAAAUAUGAAUACUACGGUGGAAAAAAGAAUCGUCUGGGAUGCAAGCAAAGCUGUAAUGAGGGGAUUCUUGAUACAACAGAAUGCAGUAAAGAAAAGAACACAAAAUGAGAAAAAGAUAAGAUCUUGGAUAAAAUAAAAGAAUUAGAGAAGAAAUUAAGAGUGAAUCCGAAGUCACAGCCAACUCUGAGAGAAAUUAAACUUUAUCAGACACAAUAUUCUAAAUUGAUAAAUCAGGAAAUUGAAUGGAAGGUUAAAUUAAUGAAACAAAAACGUUUGAGUCGGCGAAUAAAUGUGGAAAAUUGCUAGCUUGGCAGUUGAAGAGAAGACAAAGAUUAAAUACGGUUACAAAUUUAGAAGUCGAUGGAAAAAACAUUCAGAAUCCAGUGGAUAUUAGAAAGUGUUUCCAGAGAUAUUUUAAAAAACUAUACACUCAAGGGCCGCAAGACGAAGUUGAGAUUAAACAAUUUUUGGCAAAAAAUGGACUAUCUAAACUGUCACAAGAAAAUAGGACAAUCCUGAAUUCUAAAAUAACACGACAGGAGAUUGAACAAGCCAUCCAGAACAUGCAACUCGGCAAAUCUCCAGGGCCAGAUGGGCUGACCUCCAAGUACUAUAAGACAUUAAAAGACUAUUUGAUACAACCUUUGAUGGAGGUCAGCAAUGAAAUUAUGGAGGGGAAGAGGGCACCGGAGUCGUGGAAGGAAGCGUUCAUCACAUUAAUACCAAAGUCGGAAGCUGAAAAGACACAACUUAAGAACUACCGUCCCAUCUCCCUUUUAAAUGUGGAUUACAAAAUAUUUGCAGACAUUUUGGCAAGUAGAUUUAAAAAAGUUUUAAAUGAAGUAAUCCAUAAGGACCAGGCCGGCUUUCUCCCAGGUAGACAUCUGUUUGCUAAUACAAGGAACAUCAUUGACAUUUUGGAACUUUUGCAAACAGAUAUAAAUACAAAAGCAGUUUUAAUUUUUAUAGAUGCGGAGAAGGCCUUUGACAAUAUCUCCUGGAAAUUUAUGAAGGGAAAUUUAAAAGAGAUGGGAGUGGGACGGGGUUUUGAGAAUGGGAUUGAGGCGAUAUAUUCAGAACAGAAAGCUAAAUUGAUAGUUAAUAAUGUGGUUACAGAAGAGUUCAAAAUUGAAAAAGGGACACGACAAGGUUGCCCUAUUUCCCUUUGUUAUUUAUCUCGGUUCUGGAAGUGCUAUUGAACAUGAUUAGAGGGGAUCGGUUGGUGGAAGGAAUUCAGGUCGGUCAGAAACAAUAUAAAUUAAAAGCUUUUGCAGAUGACCUGGUUUUGACCCUGCAGAAGCCAGAGCCCAGUACGAAAAGAGUAUUACAACUGAUAAAUGACUUUGGUCGGGUGGCUGGAUUUAAAUUAAAUAAACAGAAAACUAAGGUUUUGGGGAAAAAUUUGACAGAUACAGAGUCAGAACGGUUUCAGAAUGAGACGGAACUUAAUGUGGUUAAAAAGUAAAAUACCUAGGGGUAAACAUAACAGUAAAAAAUCUAAGUCUAUUUAAGGAUAACUAUGAAAAAUGCUGGUCAGAAAUUAAGAGAGACUUAGAUAGUUGGUCAAAACUGAAACUUUCUUUGUUAGGCCGAAUUGCUGCUAUUAAGAUGAAUGUAUUGCCAAGGAUGUUGUUUUUAUUUCAAACACUUCAGGUUUUGGACAAAACGGAGUGCUUUCAGAAGUGGCAGAGAGACAUUUCUAAGUUUGUCUGGCAGGGCAAAAAGCCCAGAAUUAAGUUUAAGAUAUUAACUGAUGCAAAACAAAGAGGGGGCUUUGCCCUGCCAGACUUAAAGUUGUAUUAUGAAGCCGCAGCGUUCUGCUGGCUAAAAGACUGGCUACUUCUUGAGGACACUGAUGUGUUGGAUCUGGAAGGGUUUAACAAUGCCUUUGGAUGGCAUGCAUAUUUAUGGUAUGACAAGGUUAAAGCAAAUAAGGCCUUUAAGAACCAUAUUGUCAGAAAAUCAUUGUUUAAUGUCUGGAUAAAAUAUAAAGACUUGCUGGAAAAUAAAACACCAAGGUGGCUUUCACCUCUGGAAGCUAAGGCCCGAAAAAGACCCAAUAUGGAGGCUAGAUGGCCAAAAUAUUGGGAAAUACUAGAAAAGGAUGGAGACAAUUGGAAAUUGCAGAGUUUGGAGAAAAUGAAAGACAAAGUGCGAGAUUGGUUACACUACGCUCAGAUUAAAGAAGUUUUUAAAAAUGAUAAGAAAUUAGGGUUCCAGGUGGAGAAAUCGAAACUAGAAACAGAAUUGUUAGAACCAAAGAUUAAGGUACUUUCAAGGAUGUAUAACUUGCUGUUGGAAUGGAAUACACAAGAUGAAACGGUUAAAUCGGCUAUGAUAAGGUGGGCACAGGACAUUGGGUAUAAUAUUAUGUUUGAGGACUGGGUAAGGUUGUGGAGUAAUGGAUUGAAAUUCACUGCAUGUAACGCUUUGAAAGAAAAUGUAAUGAAAAUGAUUUAUAGAUGGUAUAUGACCCCAGUCAAACUUGCAAAAAUUUACCACCUGUCUGAUAAUAAGUGUUGGAAAUGUAAAGAGUGUGAGGGAACGUUCUUCCACCUCUGGUGGACUUGCCCUAAAGUGAAGGCGUUCUGGGAAAUGAUUUAUAAUGAAUUGAAAAAGGUAUUUAAAUAUACCUUCACUAAGAAACCAGAGGCUUUCCUUUUGGGUAUUGUCGGCCAAGGGGUGGCAAAGAAGGACCAGACAUUUUUUAUGUAUGCAACAACAGCAGCAAGGAUACUUCUCGCAAAACAUUGGAAAACUCAAGAUCUACCCACACUGGAAGAAUGGCAGAUGCAACUGAUAGACUACAUGGAACUGGCUGAAAUGACCGGCAGAAUUCGUGACCUGGGAGAAGAGAGGAUGGAGGAGGAUUGGAAGAAAUUUAAGAACUAUCUACAAAAAUAUUGUGAUUUGAGUGAAUGCUAAAUAAGAUGCUAGAUUAAAAUAACUGAGCACCACUUAACUUAGAAGUUUUUAAGAAAACAAGUAAGACUGUGAAAGUUUAACUCUUUUUGAGAAUUAUAAGACUAUGAAAUAUUGAAGGGAUAUAAGAAUUCAAAUAAGAUGAUAAAUUGCUGACAAAAUGUUAUAACGAUGAAAGUGGGAGCGGGAGAUGUGAGGAAGUCCAAAGAAAAUGUGAAACUAUGUUAAGACAAAUGUUAUAUUGUUUAUUAUGUUUAUUCUUAUUGUAAAACCCAAUAAAUUGCUUUAAAAAAAAAUAAAAAUCAUAUUGUCAGGAAAGCUUUGUUUAAUGUUUGGAUAAGAUAUAAGGACUUAUUGGAAAAUAAAACCUCAAGGUGGCUGUCACCGAUGGAAGCGGAAGCCUUGAAAAAGCUCAAUACGGAGGUCAAAUGGCCGAAAUAUUGGGAAAUUUUAGAACAAGAUGGAGAUAGAUUGAAACUGCAGAGUUUUGAAAAACUAAAAAAUAAAGUGCGAGACUGGCUUCAUUAUUAUCAGAUAAUGGAGGCAUACAAUUUGGACAAGAAAAUUGGCUUCCAGGUGGAAAAAUCAAAAUUAGAAACAGAACUCUUUGAACCCAAAACUAAGAAUUUGUCAAGAAUGUAUAACUUGCUGCUGAAAUGGAAUACUCAGGAUGAAACGGUGAAAUCUGCUAUGAUUAAAUGGGCACAAGAUGUUGGACAUAAUAUUAUGUUUGCUGACUGGGAACAGUUAUGGACCAGGUAUGAAGUUUACGGCAUGUAAUGCCCUAAGAGAGAAUAUUAUGAAAAUGAUAUACAGGUGGUACAUAACCCCAGUCAAGCUUGCAAAAAUCUACCAUUUGCCCGAUAAUAAAUGUUGGAAAUGUAAAGAAACUGAAGGUACAUUUUUUCACCUUUGGUGGACGUGCCCAAAGAUUAAGGCUUUCUGGGAGAUGAUAUAUAAUGAAUUAAAAAAGGUAUUUAAAUAUACCUUCUUGAAGAAACCAGAGGCCUUUCUCCUGGGCAUAGUCGGCCAAUCGGUGUUAAAAAGGGAUAGAACUUUCUUUAUGUAUGCUACAACAGCAGCAAGAAUACUCAUCGCAAAGUAUUGGAAGACACAAGAGCUACCCACACUGGAGGAAUGGCAGAUGAAAAUGAUGGACUACAUGGAAUUGGCGGAAAUGACUGGCAGAAUCUGUGACCAGGGAGAAGAGUCGGUGGAAGAAGAUUGGAAGAAAUUUAAAGAUUAUUUACAGAAAUAUUGCAAAAUUAAUGAAUGUUAGAGUGAUGUUGGAUUGAAGUUAAGUGGCUUCUAGCUGUACAGGCUUUAAAGUUAUAAAUAUAUCAAGAUUAAGGAUUAGGAUUAAAAAGGUUAAAAGAAUGGAAAAAUUGGUUUUUAAUAGGUAAAAACUUAAUGUUAUAAUAUAUUAAGAUUAAGGAUUGGGAUUAAAAAAAGGAGGGAAAGAAAUUGCUGGACUAACAAAUUGAAUUGGAAUACAAAAGAGGGAGGUAUGAGGACGUCUGGG